AUUGAACGCUGGCGGCAUGCUUUACACAUGCAAGUCGAACGGUAACAGGCCGCAAGGUGCUGACGAGUGGCGAACGGGUGAGUAAUGCAUCGGAACGUGCCCAGUCGUGGGGGAUAACGCAGCGAAAGCUGCGCUAAUACCGCAUACGAUCUAUGGAUGAAAGCGGGGGACCGUAAGGCCUCGCGCGAUUGGAGCGGCCGAUGUCAGAUUAGGUAGUUGGUGGGGUAAAAGGCUCACCAAGCCAACGAUCUGUAGCUGGUCUGAGAGGACGACCAGCCACACUGGGACUGAGACACGGCCCAGACUCCUACGGGAGGCAGCAGUGGGGAAUUUUGGGACAAUGGGCGCAAGCCUGAUCCAGCAAUGCCGCGUGCAGGAAGAAGGCCUCGGUUGUAACUAGCUUUGUACGGUAACGAAAAGGACGUCUGGUUAAUACCUGGGCGACAUGACGGUACCGUAAGAAUAAGACACCGGCUAACUACGUAGCCAGCAG
rnacentral:rRNA from 1 species